UCCCUGGAGGACUAGUGGUUAGGCCCUGGUGCUCUCACUGCCACAACCUGGGUUUGAUUCCUGGCCAGGGAA
rnacentral:tRNA from 1 species